rnacentral:rRNA from 1 species
GCACAAGCAGCGGAGCGUGUGGUUAAUUCGAUGCAACACGAAGAACCUUACCAGGGCUUGACAUGUUAGAAGUAGGAACCCGAAAGGGGACGACCAGUAUCCAGUCUGGAGCUAACACAGGUGCUGCAUGGCUGUCGUCAGCUCGUGUCGUGAGAUGUUGGGUUAAGUCCCGCAACGAGCGCAACCCUUGUCAUUAGUUGCUACAUUUAGUUGGGCACUCUAAUGAGACUGCCGGUGACAAACCGGAGGAAGGUGGGGAUGACGUCAAGUCCUCAUGGCCCUUAUAGGUAGGGCUACACACGUCAUACAAUGGAUGGUACAAAGGGUCGCCAACCCGCGAGGGGGAGCCAAUCCCAUAAAACCAUUCGUAGUCCGGAUCGCAGUCUGCAACUCGACUGCGUGAAGUCGGAAUCGCUAGUAAUCGUGGAUCAGAAUGUCACGGUGAAUACGUUCCCGGGUCUU